rnacentral:rRNA from 1 species
UACAGAGGUGGCAAGCGUUGUUCGGAAUUACUGGGCGUAAAGGGCGCGUAGGCGGUCUUGUAAGUCUUGUGUGAAAUCCCUCGGCUCAACUGAGGAACUGCACGGGAUACUGCGAGACUUGAGUUCGGGAGAGGGAAGCGGAAUUCCGGGUGUAGCGGUGAAAUGCGUAGAUAUCCGGAGGAACACCGGUGGCGAAGGCGGCUUCCUGGACCGAUUACUGACGCUGAGGCGCGAAAGCUAGGGAGCAAGCGGG